rnacentral:rRNA from 1 species
CACGAACCGUCCAAACGUUAUUCGGAAUAACUGGGCUUAAAGGGUUCGUAGGCGGCUAUGAAGGUGGGGUGUGAAAUCCCUCGGCUCAACCGAGGAACUGCGCUCCAAACCACAUGGCUUGAGGGAGACAGAGGUAAGCGGAACUGAUGGUGGAGCGGUGAAAUGCGUUGAUAUCAUCAGGAACACCGGUGGCGAAGGCGGCUUACUGGGUCUCUUCUGACGCUGAGGAACGAAAGCUAGGGGAGCGAACGGG